rnacentral:rRNA from 1 species
GACGAACGCUGGCGGCGUGCUUAACACAUGCAAGUCGAACGGAAAGGCCCUGCUUUUGUGGGGUGCUCGAGUGGCGAACGGGUGAGUAACACGUGAGUAACCUGCCCUUGACUUUGGGAUAACUUCAGGAAACUGGGGCUAAUACCGGAUAGGAGCUCCUGCUGCAUGGUGGGGGUUGGAAAGUUUCGGCGGUUGGGGAUGGACUCGCGGCUUAUCAGCUUGUUGGUGGGGUAGUGGCUUACCAAGGCUUUGACGGGUAGCCGGCCUGAGAGGGUGACCGGCCACAUUGGGACUGAGAUAGGGCCCAGACUCCUACGGGAGGCAGCAGUCGGGAGUAUUGCGCAAUGGGCGGAAGCCUGAUGCAGCAGCGCCGCGUGCGGGAUGACGGCCUUCGGGUUGUGAACCGCUUUCGCCUGUGACGAGGAGUGAGUGACGGUAAUGAGUAAAGAAGCACCGGCUAACUACGUG